ACGAACGCUGGCGGCGUGCUUAACACAUGCAAGUCGAACGGAAAGGCCCCCUUGUGGGGUACUCGAGUGGCGAACGGGUGAGUAACACGUGAGUAACCUACCCUUGACUUUGGGAUAACUUCAGGAAACUGGGGCUAAUACCGGAUAGGAGCUCCUGCUGCAUGGUGGGGGUUGGAAAGUUUCGGCGGUUGGGGAUGGACUCGCGGCUUAUCAGCUUGUUGGUGGGGUAGUGGCUCACCAAGGCUUUGACGGGUAGCCGGCCUGAGAGGGUGACCGGCCACAUUGGGACUGAGAUACGGCCCAGACUCCUACGGGAGGCAGCAGUGGGGAAUAUUGCACAAUGGGCGGAAGCCUGAUGCAGCAACGCCGCGUGCGGGAUGACGGCCUUCGGGUUGUAAACCGCUUUCGCCUGUGACGAAGCGUGAGUGACGGUAAUGGGUAAAGAAGCACCGGCUAACUACGU
rnacentral:rRNA from 1 species